UCUUUCGUAGGUUAUAAAUUUGUAAACUGUCGAUUUGUGGUGUCGGAGAAUCUGUUUGGCGGGGGAA
rnacentral:tRNA from 1 species